rnacentral:rRNA from 1 species
UACACUCCUACGGGAGGCAGCAGUGGGGAAUAUUGCACAAUGGGCGCAAGCCUGAUGCAGCCAUGCCGCGUGUAUGAAGAAGGCCUUCGGGUUGUAAAGUACUUUCAGCGGGGAGGAAGGCGAUAAGGUUAAUAACCUUGUUGAUUGACGUUACCCGCAGAAGAAGCACCGGCUAACUCCGUGCCAGCAGCCGCGGUAAUACGGAGGGUGCAAGCGUUAAUCGGAAUUACUGGGCGUAAAGCGCACGCAGGCGGUCUGUCAAGUCGGAUGUGAAAUCCCCGGGCUCAACCUGGGAACUGCAUUCGAAACUGGCAGGCUAGAGUCUUGUAGAGGGGGGUAGAAUUCCAGGUGUAGCGGUGAAAUGCGUAGAGAUCUGGAGGAAUACCGGUGGCGAAGGCGGCCCCCUGGACAAAGACUGACGCUCAGGUGCGAAAGCGUGGGGAGCAAACAGGAUUAGAAACCCUAGUAGUCCCAUG